GAUGAACGCUGGCGGCGUGCUUAACACAUGCAAGUCGAACGAUGUAGCCCAGCUUGCUGGGUGGAUUAGUGGCGAACGGGUGAGUAACACGUGAGUAACCUGCCCUUGACUCUGGGAUAAGCCUGGGAAACUGGGUCUAAUACUGGAUAUGACUUCUCAUCGCAUGGUGGGGGGUGGAAAGAUUUAUUGGUCUUGGAUGGACUCGCGGCCUAUCAGCUUGUUGGUGAGGUAAUGGCUCACCAAGGCGACGACGGGUAGCCGGCCUGAGAGGGUGACCGGCCACACUGGGACUGAGACACGGCCCAGACUCCUACGGGAGGCAGCAGUGGGGAAUAUUGCACAAUGGGCGCAAGCCUGAUGCAGCGACGCCGCGUGAGGGAUGACGGCCUUCGGGUUGUAAACCUCUUUCAGUAGGGAAGAAGCGAGAGUGACGGUACCUGCAGAAGAAGCGCCGGCUAACUACGUG
rnacentral:rRNA from 1 species